rnacentral:rRNA from 1 species
GAUGAACGCUGGCGGCGUGCCUAAUACAUGCAAGUCGAGCGAACAGACGAGGAGCUUGCUCCUCUGACGUUAGCGGCGGACGGGUGAGUAACACGUGGAUAACCUACCUAUAAGACUGGGAUAACUUCGGGAAACCGGAGCUAAUACCGGAUAACAUGUUGAACCGCAUGGUUCAACAGUGAAAGACGGUCUUGCUGUCACUUAUAGAUGGAUCCGCGCCGCAUUAGCUAGUUGGUAAGGUAACGGCUUACCAAGGCAACGAUGCGUAGCCGACCUGAGAGGGUGAUCGGCCACACUGGAACUGAGACACGGUCCAGACUCCUACGGGAGGCAGCAGUAGGGAAUCUUCCGCAAUGGGCGAAAGCCUGACGGAGCAACGCCGCGUGAGUGAAGAAGGUAUUCGGAUCGUAAAACUCUGUUAUUAGGGAAGAACAAAUGUGUAAGUAACUAUGCACGUCUUGACGGUACCUAAUCAGAAAGCCACGGCUAACUACG